rnacentral:rRNA from 1 species
UACGUAGGUGGCAAGCGUUGUCCGGAAUUAUUGGGCGUAAAGCGCGCGCAGGCGGUCCUUUAAGUCUGAUGUGAAAGCCCACGGCUCAACCGUGGAGGGUCAUUGGAAACUGGGGGACUUGAGUACAGAAGAGAAGAGUGGAAUUCCACGUGUAGCGGUGAAAUGCGUAGAGAUGUGGAGGAACACCAGUGGCGAAGGCGCUCUUUGGUCUGUAACUGACGCUGAGGCGCGAAAGCGUGGGGAGCAAACAGG